AUGGGUGUGGUGCUAAUGGUAACACAGCGGUCUCCAAAACCGAAGACGAGGGUUCGAUUCCUUCCACCUGUGCCA
rnacentral:tRNA from 1 species